rnacentral:rRNA from 1 species
CAGGCCUAACACAUGCAAGUCGGACGGGAUUGGGAGCUUGCUCCCAUGAGAGUGGCGCACGGGUGCGUAACACGUAUGUAACCUACCUUUAUCAGGGGGAUAGCCUCUCGAAAGAGAGAUUAACACCGCAUAACAUGAUUGAGUAGCAUUAUUUAAUCAUCAAAUAUUUAUAGGAUAAAGAUGGGCAUGCGGGACAUUAGCUAGUUGGCGGGGUAACGGCCCACCAAGGCGACGAUGUCUAGGGGAUCUGAGAGGAUGGCCCCCCACACUGGUACUGAGACACGGACCAGACUCCUACGGGAGGCAGCAGUAAGGAAUAUUGGUCAAUGGGCGCAAGCCUGAACCAGCCAUGCCGCGUGCAGGAAGACGGCCCUACGGGUUGUAAACUGCUUUUGCGCCGGAAUAAACCCCUUUAUGUAUAGAGGGCUGAAUGUACGGCGAGAAUAAGGAUCGUCUAACUCCGUGCCAGCAGCCGCGGUAAU